rnacentral:rRNA from 1 species
UAAUGGUGGGAACUCUAGGGAGACUGCCGGUGACAAACCGGAGGAAGGUGGGGACGACGUCAAGUUAUCAUGGCCCUUAUGGGCAGGGCUACACACGUGCUUCAAUGGCGAAUACAGAGGGUUGCCAACCAGCAAUGGUGCGCCAAUCCCUUAAAGCUCGUCGUAGUCCGGAUCGGAAUCUGCAACUCGACUCCGUGAAGUCGGAAUCGCUAGUNAUCGCGAAUCAGAAUGUCCCGGUGAAUACGUUCCCGGGUCUUGUUCACACCGCCCGUCACACCAU